GACGUAGGGCGCGAGCGUUGUCCGGAUUUAUUGGGCGUAAAGAGCUCGUAGGCGGCUUGUCGCGUCGACUGUGAAAUCCCGCGGCUCAACCGCGGGUCUGCAGUCGAUACGGGCAGGCUAGAGUUCGGUAGGGGGAGACUGGAAUUCCUGGUGUAGCGGUGAAAUGCGCAGAUAUCAGGAGGAACACCGAUGGCGAAGGCAGGUCUCUGGGCCGAUACUGACGUGAGGAGCGAAAGCGUGGGGGAGCGAACAGG
rnacentral:rRNA from 1 species